CUCCCAGUUGUUGAACUUUGAUGUUCCUAAAAUGUUUGUCAAUAUUUACAUUGAUGAUACAAAACAUUGCACAGGAGAAAUAAACAAUGUUGCGGGGCUCAACUUUACUGCUUUUGGAUUUGACAACCCAUGUUUUUGACGCUGAUAUUGAUGGAACAAGGAAGACAGUCCGCAGCACCUUCGAGAGUAUUGUUUUUGUCAGUAUGGCAGAACAGGAUAUACUUGCACACAGCUGCCGAUGUUUUGGUUGGAAUUUGGUUCUCACUGAAAAUGGCAUUGAAAAAGGUAAUUUAACUCUUUCCUUAUUAUUUGCUCAAAGAGCAGUUCUGUUUGCAUUUCUA
rnacentral:lncRNA from 8 species